UUUUCUUAGUAAUCUCUGCAACCAAUGUGGUGCUCCAACUCACAACCCUGAGAUCAAGAGUCUCACGCUCUUCCAACUGAACCACCCAGGUCCCUCCUAUAGGUACUUUUUCAUAAAAUCAUGACUAAAUUUCAACCAAUAAAAUUUCGAGUGUUUUCUAAUGGAGCCACGCUGUUUUUAAUAACUAUUAACUUGUUCAAGUCUGUGUUUCCUACUAAGAAAUUUUCCUAUUCCUUUUGGCCCCUUAGGAAUAGGUCAAAUGCAGCAGCACUGGCUACACCUAAACCUGGCAUGAAUUCUAUCUGUAGGGAUCUCUAAUGAUAUGUACAAGUUUCUCAGGAGCAAAAAUACCUCCUUUUUGGCUUCAUAUUUCUACACUGUCUUGUCUUAUUCUGUUAACGGAAAAAAGAAAGAAGAAAGGGAGGGAGAGAAAAUCCUCAGUGAGGGAAAAUACCUUAGCAGUAUAUAUAAUGCCCCAUCCAGAAGUGUAUUUAAGAAGGCCUUGGAAAUUCAAGGUAAGAAGAAACAGCAGUAAAAAAAAAAAAAAAAAAAAAAAUUAAAAAGAAAAAGAAGAAACAGCAGUAUCAUCCUUUAUACUUAACAAUCAUUGACUAGAUUAGUUGUUCCCUGGAGUCUGCAGUGGUUCCCACUCACGAUUUGACCCGCUGAUUGAAUAGGAGAGGAAAUCAAGUAAGUAGUCUGAAAGGGAGAUUGCAUAAUAUGAAUAGUAAUUGUAUGUAAUUCUAAAAUUAAAUCUACCUCUCUAUCUACCCAUCUGACACAUCUUAGAAAAACAUUAUAAAGUUCUAGGAUUUUAUCUUGCUUAUUCUCCUGGUUUGCUUUAGGUAAGCGCUUGUUAAUAAUAGCAGCUGUUGUAAAUCCAAACCCAACCAAGCCCUAUUGUGCCCUUAGGUUUUGUGAUUUAUUGUGAUACCUUCCUUCAUACGGAGGAGAUAGCCCACUUUUAUUUUUCCUGAAGUACAAAUAUAAAAUUGCUGCUGUUGAAUUAUUUCUGCUGCAGUUAGGGAGAAAAGAGGAAAAUGAGCUUCACUAGGUAAGCACCUGACAUGAUGAAGCUCGUUUUCUUAUAAAUUAUGGCAAAGGAAUAGAAAUAAUUAACUUAGAACAAACAUAUGUCCAAAAAAGCAAUGACUCUUCUGCGAAUUUGCUACGGCAAAGAUAACUACUUUUCACAUUAUAUGGAAAGGUUAGAAAAAUGAGUAGAAAUAUUUUACAAAUAUUUUUACAUAAGAAACAUAAAGAACUAAAUAAAAUAUAUUUAAUAUGUCAGAAGAAAACUAUUUAAAAUAAAAAGCUACACACUGCUUGUUUGGUAUAGAUAUAAAAAUACAUAAAAGAAGGUAUUGUCAUCUUAGCGAGGCCAAAAGAGUAGUUCAAGAAAUCUGAGUUUGGUACCUAAUUUAUCCAUGAAAGAGCUAUGUGCUCUUCUGCAAAGGACAAAGCCUCACCUGUGUUACUUUUGUCAUGUGUGAAAAUAACAAAUGUUGAAUUAAAUGAUACCUAGAUUCUAUUCAAUUUUAACAUUUUAUAAUUUGGGAAAUCUACAUUUUAUAUAGUGAUAUGUAUUUAAUGGGUUUUUAAAUCUUUAAUUAUAGUAAAAAGCGCAUAACAUAAAAGUUACCAUCUCAACCAUUUUUGUAAGUCUGCAGUUCAGUAGUGUUAAGUCUGUUCACAUUUUUUUUAACAGAUCGCCAGGACUUUCACAUCAUGCAAAACAGAAACUCGGUACCCAUUAGGCAGCAAUUCCUCAUUCCUCCUUGAAGCCUCUCGUAAAACACCUUUCUGCUUUCUAUUUCUAUGAAUUCGACUACUUUAGAUACCUCAUAUGAGUGGAAUCAUAGAGUAUUUGCCUUUCUGUGUUUGGUUUAUUUAACUUUAACAUAAUAUCCUCAAGAUUCAUCUAUAUUUGUGACAUGUGACAGGAUUUCCUUCCAUUUUAAGACCAAAUAAGAUUCCAUUGUAUGUAUAUAUCUCACUUCAUCUGUUCAUCUGACGAACACUUGGUUUGCUUAUCCUCUUGGAUAUGGUGAAUAAUGUUACUUUGAACAUGAUGUGCGAUAUCUCUUCAAGACCCUGCUUUCAAAAAAAAAAAAAAAAAAA
rnacentral:lncRNA from 1 species